rnacentral:rRNA from 1 species
GAUGAACGCUGGCGGCGUGCCUAAUACAUGCAAGUCGAACGCAUUGAGAAAAGUGCUUGCACUUUUCAAUUUGAGUGGCGAACGGGUGAGUAACACGUGGGCAACCUACCUGAUAGCGGGGGAUAACGAGUGGAAACAUUCGCUAAUACCGCAUAACAAUAGAGAAGGCAUCUUCUUUAUUUAAAAGGCGCUUUCAAGCGUCACUAUCAGAUGGGCCCGCGGUGCGUUAGUUAGUUGGUGGGGUGAAGGCCUACCAAGACGAUGAUGCAUAGCCGAGUUGAGAGACUGAUCGGCCACAUUGGGACUGAGACACGGCCCAAACUCCUACGGGAGGCUGCAGUAGGGAAUCUUCCACAAUGGACGAAAGUCUGAUGGAGCAACGCCGCGUGUGUGAUGAAGGCUUUCGGGUCGUAAAGCACUGUUGUAUGGGAAGAAAUGCUAGGCUAGGAAAUGAGCUUAGUUUGACGGUACCAUACCAGAAAGGGACGGCUAAAUACGUGCCAGCCGCCGCGGUAA